rnacentral:tRNA from 1 species
GGACGUGGACUGCGGUCGCAGGCUUACUUUGCAGAGGUGAUUUAAAGGUUUGAUUCCUUCGCGUUCU